rnacentral:rRNA from 1 species
AGGAAUGAGAAUAAUGAUUWAUAGGGAUAGUUGGGGGCRUUAGUAUGUAGUUGUCAGAGGUGAAAUUCUAGGAUUUACURAAGACUGACCAAUGCGAAAGCAUUGCCAAGGAUGUUUUCAUUAAUCAAGAACGAAAGUAKGGGGAUUGAAGRCGAUCMGAUWCCGUUGUAGUUUYUACCCUAAAMUAUKCCGACCAGGGAUCCGGAGAGUGUGCAUGGAUGACUCCCCGGGGCACUUAGGGGAAUCMUAAGUGUUUGGGUUCUGGGGGGAGUAUGGUCGCAAGGCUGAAACUAAAGAAUGACGAACGGAUCCCGAAGGC